CUAAUACAUGCAAGUCGAGCGGACAGAAGGGAGCUUGCUCCCGGAUGUUAGCGGCGGACGGGUGAGUAACACGUGGGUAACCUGCCUGUAAGACUGGGAUAACUCCGGGAAACCGGAGCUAAUACCGGAUAGUUCCUUGAACCGCAUGGUUCAAGGAUGAAAGACGGUUUCGGCUGUCACUUACAGAUGGACCCGCGGCGCAUUAGCUAGUUGGUGGGGUAAUGGCUCACCAAGGCGACGAUGCGUAGCCGACCUGAGAGGGUGAUCGGCCACACUGGGACUGAGACACGGCCCAGACUCCUACGGGAGGCAGCAGUAGGGAAUCUUCCGCAAUGGACGAAAGUCUGACGGAGCAACGCCGCGUGAGUGAUGAAGGUUUUCGGAUCGUAAAGCUCUGUUGUUAGGGAAGAACAAGUGCGAGAGUAACUGCUCGCACCUUGACGGUACCUAACCAGAAAGCCACGGCUAACUACGUGCCAGCAGCCGCGGUAAUACGUAGGUGGCAAGCGUUGUCCGGAAUUAUUGGGCGUAAAGGGCUCGCAGGCGGUUUCUUAAGUCUGAUGUGAAAGCCCCCGGCUCAACCGGGGAGGGUCAUUGGAAACUGGGAAACUUGAGUGCAGAAGAGCGGUCGCAAGAUGAAAACUCAAAGGAAUUGACGGGGGCCCGCACAAGCGGUGGAGCAUAUGUUUUAAUUUGAAGCAACGCGAAGAACCUUACCAGGUCUUGACAUCCUCUGACAACCCUAGAGAUAGGGCUUUCCCUUCGGGGACAGAGUGACAGGUGGUGCAUGGUUGUCGUCAGCUCGUGUCGUGAGAUGUUGGGUUAAGUCCCGCAACGAGCGCAACCCUUGAUCUUAGUUGCCAGCAUUUAGUUGGGCACUCUAAGGUGACUGCCGGUGACAAACCGGAGGAAGGUGGGGAUGACGUCAAAUCAUCAUGCCCCUUAUGACCUGGGCUACACACGUGCUACAAUGGACAGAACAAAGGGCUGCGAGACCGCAAGGUUUAGCCAAUCCCAUAAAUCUGUUCUCAGUUCGGAUCGCAGUCUGCAACUCGACUGCGUGAAGCUGGAAUCGCUAGUAAUCGCGGAUCAGCAUGCCGCGGUGAAUACGUUCCCGGGCCUUGUACACACCGCCCGUCACACCACGAGAGUUUGCAACACCCGAAGUCGGUGAGGUAACCAUUAUGGAGCCAGCCGCCGAAAGGUGGC
rnacentral:rRNA from 1 species